rnacentral:rRNA from 1 species
CCUACGGGUGGCAGCAGUGAGGAAUAUUGGUCAAUGGACGAGAGUCUGAACCAGCCAAGUAGCGUGAAGGAUGACUGCCCUAUGGGUUGUAAACUUCUUUUAUAAAGGAAUAAAACGAGGCACGUGUGCCUUUUUGCAUGUACUUUAUGAAUAAGGAUCGGCUAACUCCGUGCCAGCAGCCGCGGUAAUACGGAGGAUCCGAGCGUUAUCCGGAUUUAUUGGGUUUAAAGGGAGCGUAGACGGGUUGUUAAGUCAGUUGUGAAAUUUUGCGGCUCAACCGUAAAAUUGCAAUUGAUACUGGCAGUCUUGAGUACAGUUGAGGUAUGCGGAAUGCGUGGUGUAGCGGUGAAAUGCUUAGAUAUCACGAAGAACCCCGAUUGCGAAGGCAGCUUACUAGAGUGUGACUGACAUUGAUGCUCGAAAGUGUGGGUAUCAAACAGGAUUAGAUACCCUUGUAGUC